rnacentral:rRNA from 1 species
ACGGGAGGCAGCAGUGGGGGAUAUUGCACAAUGGGGGAAACCCUGAUGCAGCGACGCCGCGUGAGUGAUGAAGUAUUUCGGUAUGUAAAGCUCUAUCAGCAGGGAAGAAAAUGACGGUACCUGACUAAGAAGCACCGGCUAAAUACGUGCCAGCAGCCGCGGUAAUACGGAAGGUCCGAGCGUUAUCCGGAUUUAUUGGGUUUAAAGGGAGCGCAGGCGGAGAUGCAAGCCAGCCGUAAAAUCGUUGAGCUCAACUCAAUCUCGCGGUUGGAACUGCAUCCCUUGAGUGCACUAGAGGGUGGUGGAAUUCGUGGUGUAGCGGUGAAAUGCAUAGAUAUCACGAAGAACUCCGAUUGCGAAGGCAGCCACCUGGGGUGUUACUGACGCUCAUGCUCGAAGGUGUGGGAAUCAAACAGGAUUAGAUACCCUGGUA